UGUUGAAAAAUUCAUUCAUUUGUAUUGUUAAAAACUGGUGUGGUUGAUUAAAUAACCAGUGAUAUAUGACGUGCCACAUAUACAUCAUAUUGACAUAUAUGGACAAAUUUUUUACAACAAAAAUGAAUGAAUUUUUUUAAUA
rfam:Gossypium arboreum cultivar AKA8401 contig_3504_3, whole genome shotgun sequence.